rnacentral:rRNA from 1 species
CCUACGGGUGGCAGCAGUGAGGAAUAUUGGUCAAUGGCCGUAAGGCUGAACCAGCCAAGUAGCGUGAGGGAAGACUGCCCUAUAGGUUGUAAACCUCUUUUAUGAGGGGAUAAAGGUGUCCACGUUUGGAUGUUUGCAGUUACCGCAUGAAUAACGACCGGCUAAUUACUUGCCAUCAGCCGCGGUAAUACGGAAGGUCCGGGCGUUAUCCGGAUUUAUUGGGUUUAAAGGGAGCGUAGGCGGGUCUUUAAGCGUGCCGGGAAAUUUUGUGGCUCAACCAUGCGAGUGCGGGGCGAACUGGAGACCUUGAGUGCGCGGAAGGCAGGCGGAAUUCGUGGUGUAGCGGUGAAAUGCUUAGAUAUCACGAAGAACCCCGAUUGCGAAGGCAGCCUGCCGCAGCGUUACUGACGCUGAAGCUCGAAAGCGCGGGUAUCGAACAGGAUUAGAUACCCGUGUAGUC